AGCGAACGCUGGCGGCAGGCCUAACACAUGCAAGUCGAACGAAGUCUUCGGACUUAGUGGCGGACGGGUGAGUAACACGUGGGAACGUGCCUUUAGGUUCGGAAUAACUCAGGGAAACUUGUGCUAAUACCGAAUGUGCCCUUCGGGGGAAAGAUUUAUCGCCUUUAGAGCGGCCCGCGUCUAGAUUAGCUAGUUGGUGAGGUAAAGGCUCACCAAGGCGACGAUCGGUAGCUGGUCUGAGGGGAUGAUCAGCCACAUUGGGACUGAGACACGGCCCAAACUCCUACGGGAGGCAGCAGUGGGGAAUCUUGCGCAAUGGGCGAAAGCCUGACGCAGCCAUGCCGCGUGAAUGAUGAAGGUCUUAGGAUUGUAAAAUUCUUUCACCGGGGACGAUAAUGACGGUACCCGGAGAAGAAGCCCCGGCUAACUUCGUGCCAGCAGCCGCCGCCGUAA
rnacentral:rRNA from 1 species